rfam:Myotis davidii contig55201, whole genome shotgun sequence.
GGCUCCGUGGCGCAAUGGAUAGCGCAUUGGACUUCUAGAGGUUGAAGGCAUUCAAAGGUUCCGGGUUCGAGUCCCGGCGGAGUCG